CCCCAGGAUAUGAUCUGCUACUCAUGCUGUAGGAGGUCAGCCGGUGCUGAGGGGGAUUGCUUCAUUUGCCAUCCAUCCAUGCCUCUCAGAACAUGUUGAGUUUAUCAAAAGGAGUAAAGAUGCUUUAUCUUCAUGAUAUCCAAGAACAUACUGGAGACAAAUGCUUCUCUGCUUACUUGUGUCCAGACAUCAUGAAAGGCAACGUUCUCUGAGAUCCACACCCCAUAUUCCUGCUUGGAUGUUUGGCUCCCCACAUGUAGAAGAUGCCUACCUCCAUCAGUGGGAACUGAAACAUGCCAGACAAAUGAUUCUAGAU